rnacentral:rRNA from 1 species
GACGAACGCUGGCGGCGUGCUUAACACAUGCAAGUCGAACGGAAAGGCCCUGCUUUUGUGGGGUGCUCGAGUGGCGAACGGGCGAGUAACACGUGAGUAACCUGCCCUUGACUUUGGGAUAACUUCAGGAAACUGGGGCUAAUACCGGAUAGGAGCUCCUGCUGCAUGGUGGGGGUUGGAAAGUUUCGGCGGUUGGGGCUGGACUCGCGGCUUAUCAGCUUGUUGGUGGGGUAGUGGCGUACCAAGGCUUUGACGGGUAGCCGGCCUGAGAGGGUGACCGGCCACAUUGGGACUGAGAUACGGCCAGGACUGCUACGGGAGGCAGCGGUGGGGAAUAGUGGACGAUGGGCGGAAGCCGUAUGCAGCAACGUCGCGUGCGGGAUGACUGCCUUCGGGUUGGAAACCGCUUUCUCCGGUGAGGUAGAGUGAUUGACGGUAAUGGGUAAAGAAGCCCCGGCUAACUACGUG